AUUUUAAAGUGCCAUCUCCCAGAAUGGUUUAGCCCAGAUUGGAAGCAGGAGGGAGCGGGAUGAAAUGGAAGACCGCAAGGUGUCUCCCCCUCAGAGCCCUGACUCUCUGAACAUAAUUUGGCGACGACUCCCUGCGGCGUCUUUCGCUCCUCGUCUGCACAAUGAGGGUGCUAAUACCUGAAACCUCCGCGUCUUGCAGGAAUCCUGAACGGAUCAAGUUACCCUGAAAACCACACAGGGUGUUGAUCCAAGGAUCUGUUUUUACAUUUGAAUGCAGCAGUCAACUGGAGCAUAAUAGAUUGCAGACCUCUGUGAGAAAUCGCUGUGAAGGCUUCAGCGGGGAACUGUGGGCUGCUGCAGAGAACUGCACUGUCAGCAGGUUCAUUUGCCCAGGCAGGGGCUGAAACAGAGCCGGUCAAAUGACUAUUCACCAAGGUCUUCUGGAAUGUUCUUAGCACCUCUUCCUCUGAAGUUCUCCAGUAACACAAUGAAGUCUUAUAGGCACUGAGGCAGAGGGAUGGACUUAUUGAAAUUCACCUUUAAUUCUUUUACUCCUGCCAGGCUGACUUGAGGACUCUAGGUUCUGAAUUCAGUUCAGAUGUCAAUUCACAGGCUCACUGUUAUGUUAUGGGUUGAACUGUGUCCUUCCAAAAUUCAUACGUUGAAGUUCUAGCCUCCAGUACCUCAGAAAGUGACCUUAUUUAAAAACAGAGUCUUUAAAACGAGGUCAUUGGGGUGGGCCCUAAUGCGAUAGGACUGGUGUCCUCAUAAAAGGGAAACAUGGAGGCAGAUAUACACAUAGAGAGAAUGACAUGUGAACAUGAAAGCAGAGGUUGAGGUGAUGCUUCUACAAGCCAAGGGAUGUCAAAGAUGGCACGUGAGGCACGUGAAGCUAGUUAAGAGACAGGAAACAGCCCUCAGAAGGAACCAGCCCUGCCUACACCUUGAUCUUGGAUGUCUAGCUUACAGAACUAUGAGACAACACAUUUCUGUGGCUUAAGUCACUCAGUUUGUGGUACUUUGUUAGAGCUGCUCUCUCAAUGUAAAAUAGUCAACUUUCGGUACAUCUCCCCUCUGUAUUGUUUCCCAUAAAAGGAAAUCCAGGGCCGGCCGAGUGGCACAAUGGUUACGAACUGGCUUGGGAUGCAAGAGGGCCCGGUUCGGAUCCC